rnacentral:misc_RNA from 1 species
AACGCACAUUGCGCCCUGUGGUAUUCCGCAGGGCAUGCCUGUUCGAGCGUCAUUACAACCACUCAAGCCUGGCUUGGUAUUGGGGUUUGCGGUUCCGCAGCCCCUAAAAUUAGUGGCGGUGUCGGUGUGGCUCUACGCGUAGUAAUUCUUCUCGCGACGGAGUUCCCCUGGAUACCUGCCAGAACCCCCCAAUUUUUACAGGUUGACCUCGGAUCAGGUAGGGAUACCCGCUGAACUUAA